GUCUACAGCCAUGCCACCCCAAACGUGCCCAAUCUCAUCUGAUCUAGAAGCUAAGCAGGGUCAGGCCUGGUGAGUACUUGCAUGGGAGAUCACCUAGGAAUACCAGGUGCUGUAGGCA
rnacentral:rRNA from 1 species